rnacentral:lncRNA from 1 species
UAUCUUCUUUCAUGCAAAGAAGAUGAGCCUUCAUGCACCUCUUGCUGCCUUCUAUGGCUCAUACACUUCCUUCUCUCAUUCAUUGGUUGAUAUUCUUCAUCUUCAUUCUCUUCAUUGUCCUUGUUGUAUCUUGUUGGAAUUGAAGUCUUUAUAGAGUUGGGCUCUUCUUCAAUGAUAUCUUCAUUUCCAUCUUCACUUUGAGAAUGCUCUUCUUCAUCUUCUUCUUUGUUUGCUGAAAUUGAAGAUGUGUCCACAAACACACCACUACUCCCACUUGGACACAUCUCCCACUUUUCACUUGCACUCU